rnacentral:misc_RNA from 1 species
UAAUAAGUGUUUUAUGGCACUUUUUAAAUCCAUAUCCACCUUGUGUGCAAUGUCAGUCGAUCUUCUUCAUGGAGAUCGACCAAACAUCAACCUUUAUCUUUUAACUCUUUGUCUGAAAAAUAUUUAUGAAUAAACAAUUCAAAAUA